GACGAACCGUGCGAACGUUGUUCGGAAUCACUAGGCUUAAAGGGUGCGUAGGCGGAGUCUCAAGUCUGUGGUGAAAUCCCCCGGCUUAACCGGGGAACUGCCGUGGAUACUGGGAUUCUCGAGGGGUGUAGGGGCAUGCGGAACUUAGGGUGGAGCGGUGAAAUGCGUAGAUAUCCGAAGGAACGCCGGUGGCGAAAGCGGCGUGCUGGACACCUUCUGACGCUGAGGCACGAAAGCCAGGGGAGCAAACGGG
rnacentral:rRNA from 1 species